CCUACGGGAGGCAGCAGUGAGGAAUAUUGGUCAAUGGGCGCGAGCCUGAACCAGCCAAGUAGCGUGAAGGAUGAAUGCCCUACGGGUUGUAAACUUCUUUUAUAAAGGAAUAAAGUGAGGCACGUGAGCCUUUUUGUAUGUACUUUAUGAAUAAGGAUCGGCUAACUCUGUGCCAGCAGCCGCGGUAAUACGGAGGAACCGAGCGUUAUCCGGAUUUAUUGGGUUUAAAGGGAGCGUAGAUGGGUGGUUAAGUCAGUUGUGAAAGUUUGCGGCUCAACCGUAAAAUUGCAAUUGAUACUGGCAGGCUUGAGUACAGGUGAGGUAGGCGGAAUGCGUGGUGUAGCGGUGAAAUGCUUAGAUAUCACGAAGAACUCCGAUUGCGAAGGCAGCUUACUAAACUGCCACUGACAUUGAUGCUCGAAAGUGUGGGGAUCAAACAGGAUUAGAUACCCCAGUAGUC
rnacentral:rRNA from 1 species